rnacentral:rRNA from 1 species
GAAAAGAAACCAACAGGGAUUGCCUYAGUAACGGCGAGUGAAGCGGCAAAAGCUCAAAUUUGAAAUCUGGCACCCCYGGUGUCCGAGUUGUAAUUUGGAGAGGCGUCUUCCGGAGGGGUCCAGCCCAUGUUCCUUGGAACAGGACAUCACAGAGGGUGAGAAUCCCGUUUACGGCUGGAUAUACCCUCCAGUAGGUAGUGCCUUCUACGAGUCGAGUUGUUUGGGAAUGCAGCUCAAAAUGGGUGGUAAAUUUCAUCUAAAGCUAAAUAUUGGCGAGAGACCGAUAGCGCACAAGUAGAGUGAUCGAAAGAUGAAAAGCACUUUGAAAAUAGAGUCAAACAGUACGUGAAAUUGUUGAAAGGGAAGCGCUUGAGACCAGACUCAGCCUUGGACAAACAACUUUCCUUCUGGGUGGUGCACUUGUCCUCGGCUGGGCCAGCAUCAGUUAGGGUGGUGGAAUAAAGGCUUGUGGAAUGUGACUCCAUUUUGGAGUGUUAUAGCCWCAGGUGCCAUCUCACCUGCCCUGACUGUGGACCGCGCUUUGGCUAGGAUGCUGGCGUAAUGGUCUUUA